AUCAUACAUUCUGUUAUGAAGAUUUCAAUCUAAAAUUCACUGCAGUAGUUAAUGGAUUCUGUUGUUGACAAUCAUUGAUACGUUGCUGUUUCUAUGAUAUCACCAGGAUUACAUGCAUUUGAUAUCACUAUCUAUAUAACAUCAAAUGUAGACACUGCAUGCUUUAUUGUGGACAUUUACAGAAGGUCCAUGCCUACCGGCGUGGAUUUGUGUAUAGAAUUUUAUGACUUCAUCUUCUAACCUCUGUUGCAUGAUGAUGAUUCUUCAACCAGAGUAUUUUGUCCAUUCCUGAAUGAUACCAAGAUCAUCAUAGAUAUUCUUGAAAUCACCAGAAGACUUACCUUGAAGCUUAUAAUACUUAUCACAAACCUCAUUGUAAGAGAGAAAGCCAAGCCUCAGAAACUUCGGAUGGAUAGAAUGGGAUAGCACUUUCAUUGGAAAUUCUGGAGGAUUUGGUGGAAGAAGUAUGCCACUUUAGUAUCUGAUUCUAAUACUUGCCAGUUUGAUAAAGCUAAUUAGUAAAUAUAUGUAAUAGAUAUAAUAUGUAUGUUCAAACUGUGUAUAGAAGUAAUUAAUGGUGAUUGCUUGGAGUUUACUUUUUCUAUUUUCA